GAUCUUUUUUUUUCUUCUUUUUUUUUUUACCUUCUCUGGACAAUCUUAAACCCAGUCGUACAAAGUGACUAAGUUUGACAUAAACAUUUUUAAACAUUACUUUGAGGUAAAUAUCAUUGAGAACAUUAUCAUUAACAUUAUGUCAUGCCAAUUAUGUUAUUUCAUUUAUCUUCACGUAUUUGUUUACAGGCCAAAUUUCCCCGAGAUAUCUCAAUGAGAAGUUUGAUUUUCUUGUCAGAUUGAAAUGCACACCUGACUUAAGUCUAUUUUGUGUCCACAUGGAGGUAAUCGAUGCACACCGUGAUUGUUGGUUCUACAACCUGUUUUUGAAAUGGCUAAAAGUGGCUUUGACAUUCUUAUCAUAGGUACAGCACUACCUCAGAUCCUCCAAUGGGCUGUGGAUGACACACAUUUACAGUUGCCCCAUAGAAAACCCUGAAGUAUACUUUUUAAGCUACUUUAAUCAGAGGAAUGUCAGCAUCAACUGCGUGCAGACUCUAUGCUGUGUUCUUUGAAAAAGGAAAGGCUGUUAAAUUCCUUAGGAAUGACCUUUACACACGUGUUUGCUUUAGAAUGUGAUUAAGGGAGGAGAAGGGUCCCUUUCUACUGUGGAAAAGCUAAAACAUGCAUCAUCUACAUAUAUUUUAGAACCAAAAUGCUGAGAUAUUUUCACACUUUUAUAGCUUUGCCACCUUUUUACGAUGUUUACGUCUUUGAUGUUUGCUACAGAGAGGGUAGAGGAACACAGGAGGCCUUACAGUGGAUUAAUAUAUAUAUAUAUAUAUACACUGUAUAUAUCGGUUAACACUAUUUUCAAACAUGUUUCAAUGACAGUUGUACUCACAAAAACACGCAAAAUACAAUACUAUAGUAGCAGACUUUUUUUCUUUUGUUUUCUGUUUGAUUUUCCACGACAUUGACAAAUGAUUUUAGUUGUUCUGCCAUGUAGCACAUAGCCGGGGUGCGAUUUUCUGGGUGGAAAAGGGAGGUUGAGUUGCUCUCACAGCUUCUGUCCUGGGCAUAAAGUGUACGUUAUUAUUACUUCUUCUUGUCAUGGGAUGUCAGCAUUGGAAAUUAAUCUUUAUUUUCUUUUUUUUUAUUGCAGAUAUAUGGCAGAGAGAAUUGCAGGCGGAGGGACAGACAGCAGCCAGCUCAAUAUAAAUUCACCUGAGUCUGGAAAGUAACUUCCCCAAAUUUCUAAUAAUCUUCUUUAAAAAUUGUGUGAGUGAGUCUCGGGCUUUAGGUAACUCUACACAGAGAAUGGCUUGAAUUGAAAAUGUGAUGAAAAAGCAGGAAUAACUGUCAGUGUGACCCCGAGAACGGCGUUUCUAUAAACUCAAAUCGCACCCUGUAUUUGACCCAAGUCUUAAUGGAGAUGUGGCAUGAAUGCAUCACAGGCUUCUGGAGAACUCAUUUUGCUGGUAAAAUGGCUGUACACAUGCUUGUUACUGCAUUAAAGAUGCUCCGCUGUAUCAGCCUACAUUUUGUACAACCCAGCCAUUAUGUUUAAACGGUAUGAAUAUCUAUCUGCUUUUCCCUCUUUGUAUAUGAAUAAAUUAUAAAGUUGCCCGCGGUAUGUGUAACGUUUCAUGUAAACUGUACAUACUCUGUUUAUUUCCAUGUAUUUGUACAGAAUGUCUUUUAAGAAUUGUCUCCUCAAAUCAUUUUUUCCCAAUUUUAUGGGAAUGUUGUGCAAUAAAGAUGCGACGUUAAGUA